rnacentral:miRNA from 1 species
GUCACUUCUCUUCCCACCACAG